GAUGAACGCUGGCGGCGUGCCUAAUACAUGCAAGUCGAGCGAACAGACGAGGAGCUUGCUCCUUUGACGUUAGCGGCGGACGGGUGAGUAACACGUGGGUAACCUACCUAUAAGACUGGGAUAACUUCGGGAAACCGGAGCUAAUACCGGAUAAUAUUUCGAACCGCAUGGUUCGAUAGUGAAAGAUGGCUUUGCUAUCACUUAUAGAUGGACCUGCGCCGUAUUAGCUAGUUGGUAAGGUAACGGCUUACCAAGGCAACGAUACGUAACCGACCUGAGAGGGUGAUCGGCCACACUGGAACUGAGACACGGUCCAGACUCCUACGGGAGGCAGCAGUAGGGAAUCUUCCGCAAUGGGCGAAAGCCUGACGGAGCAACGCCGCGUGAGUGAUGAAGGUCUUCGGAUCGUAAAACUCUGUUAUUAGGGAAGAACAAACGUGUAAGUAACUGUGCACGUCUUGACGGUACCUAAUCAGAAAGCCACGGCUAACUACGUG
rnacentral:rRNA from 1 species